CGCGCACCGGCGAGGCGCCGGGCGCGCGCGGUAUCAGCGCCUUCGUGGUGGAUGCCGACACGCCGGGGUUCGAGGUCUCGGAGCGCAUC
rnacentral:tRNA from 1 species